GGGUGACGGCGUACCUUUUGUAUAAUGGGUCAGCGACUUACGUUCAGUAGCAAGCUUAACCGUAUAGGGCAGGCGUAGCGAAAGCGAGUCCGAAUAGGGCGUUCAGUUGCUGGGCGUAGACCCGAAACCAAGUGAUCUAUCCAUGGCCAGGAUGAAGGUGCGGUAACACGUACUGGAGGUCCGAACCCACUAACGUUGAAAAGUUAGGGGAUGAGCUGUGGAUAGGGGUGAAAGGCUAAACAAACUUGGAAAUAGCUGGUUCUCUCCGAAAACUAUUUAGGUAGUGCCUCGUGUCUCACCUUCGGGGGUAGAGCACUGUCAUGGUUGGGGGGUCCAUUGCGGAUUACCCCGCCAUAGCAAACUCCGAAUACCGAAGAGUGCAAUCACGGGAGACAGACAUCGGGUGCUAACGUCCGGUGUCAAGAGGGAAACAACCCAGACCGCCAGCUAAGGUCCCCAAAUAUAGCUAAGUGGGAAACGAAGUGGGAAGGCUAAAACAGUCAGGAGGUUGGCUUAGAAGCAGCCACCCUUUAAAGAAAGCGUAAUAGCUCACUGAUCGAGUCGUCCUGCGCGGAAGAUGUAACGGGGCUAAGCUAUAUACCGAAGCUGCGGAUGCGUGUUUACACGCAUGGUAGGAGAGCGUUCCGUAAGCCUGCGAAGGUGCGUUGAAAAGCGUGCUGGAGGUAUCGGAAGUGCGAAUGCUGACAUGAGUAGCGAUAAAGGGGGUGAAAGGCCCCCUCGCCGUAAGCCCAAGGUUUCCUACGCAACGUUCAUCGGCGUAGGGUGAGUCGGCCCCUAAGGCGAGGCAGAAAUGCGUAGCUGAUGGGAAGCAGGUCAAUAUUCCUGCACCAUUGUUAGAUGCGAUGGGGGGACGGAUCGCGGAAGGUUGUCCGGGUGUUGGAAGUCCCGGUCGCUGCAUUGGAGAAGGCGCUUAGGCAAAUCCGGGCGCGGAAUUCAAGGGUGUGGCGCGAGCUCCUUAGGGAGCGAAGCAAUUGGAAGUGGUUCCAAGAAAAGCCUCUAAGCUUCAGUCUAAUGAUGACCGUACCGCAAACCGACACAGGUGGGCGAGAUGAGUAUUCUAAGGCGCUUGAGAGAACUCGGGAGAAGGAACUCGGCAAAUUGGUACCGUAACUUCGGGAUAAGGUACGCCCUUGUAGCUUGAUGCCCCUGCGGGCAAAGGGUGAAGGGGUUGCAAUAAACUGGUGGCUGCGACUGUUUAAUAAAAACACAGCACUCUGCAAACACGAAAGUGGACGUAUAGGGUGUGACGCCUGCCCGGUGCCGGAAGAUUAAAUGAUGGGGUGCAAGCUCUUGAUUGAAGUCCCGGUAAACGGCGGCCGUAACUAUAACGGUCCUAAGGUAGCGAAAUUCCUUGUCGGGUAAGUUCCGACCUGCACGAAUGGCGUAACGAUGGCCACACUGUCUCCUCCCGAGACUCAGCGAAGUUGAAGUGUUUGUGAUGAUGCAAUCUACCCGCGGCUAGACGGAAAGACCCCAUGAACCUUUACUGUAGCUUUGCAUUGGACUUUGAACCGAUCUGUGUAGGAUAGGUGGGAGGCUAUGAAACCGGAACGCUAGUUUCGGUGGAGCCGUCCUUGAAAUACCACCCUGGUUUGUUUGAGGUUCUAACCUUGGCCCGUGAUCCGGGUCGGGGACAGUGCAUGGUAGGCAGUUUGACUGGGGCGGUCUCCUCCCAAAGCGUAACGGAGGAGUACGAAGGUACGCUAGGUACGGUCGGAAAUCGUGCUGAUAGUGCAAUGGCAUAAGCGUGCUUAACUGCGAGACCGACAAGUCGAGCAGGUGCGAAAGCAGGUCAUAGUGAUCCGGUGGUUCUGUAUGGAAGGGCCAUCGCUCAACGGAUAAAAGGUACUCUGGGGAUAACAGGCUGAUACCGCCCAAGAGUUCAUAUCGACGGCGGUGUUUGGCACCUCGAUGUCGGCUCAUCUCAUCCUGGGGCUGUAGCCGGUCCCAAGGGUAUGGCUGUUCGCCAUUUAAAGAGGUACGUGAGCUGGGUUUAAAACGUCGUGAGACAGUUUGGUCCCUAUCUGCCGUGGGCGUUGGAUAUUUGAAGGGGGCUGCUCCUAGUACGAGAGGACCGGAGUGGACGAACCUCUGGUGUACCGGUUGUCACGCCAGUGGCAUCGCCGGGUAGCUAUGUUCGGAAGAGAUAACCGCUGAAAGCAUCUAAGCGGGAAACUCGCCUUAAGAUGAGAUAUCCCUGGGGACUAGAUCCCCUUGAAGGGUCGUUCGAGACCAGGACGUUGAUAGGUCAGGUGUGUAAGCGCAGUAAUGCGUUCAGCUAACUGAUACUAAUUGCCCGUAAGGCUUGAUCC
rnacentral:rRNA from 1 species